AAAACUAUACUUUCAGGAAUCAUUUUUAUGGUUUGUUAUUGGGGAAGUUUUUCUGAACGUGUGAAGUCCCGGAAACCACGUAAGACAGUGUUUGGUGUUGUUUCACUGCAACCGCCUUUUACUGUUGAUGAUCGUUCUUCUCUCCGUUUUGGGGAGUAAAACGGAAAGAACAAGGUCUGAGUGGU
rnacentral:snoRNA from 1 species